UGCGUAGGCGGAGUAUUAAGUCAGUGGUGAAAUCCUGCGGCUCAACCGUAGAACUGCCAUUGAUACUGAUAUUCUUGAAUGUAGUUGAGGUAGGCGGAAUGUGUAAUGUAGCGGUGAAAUGCUUAGAUAUUACACAGAACACCGAUUGCGAAGGCAGCUUACUAAACUAUGAUUGACGCUGAGGCACGAAAGCGUGGGGAGCGAACAGGAUUAGAUACCCUGGUAGUCC
rnacentral:rRNA from 1 species